UGGCGGACGGGUGAGUAAUGUCUGGGAAACUGCCCGAUGGAGGGGGAUAACUACUGGAAACGGUAGCUAAUACCGCAUAACGUCGCUAGGCCAAAGAGGGGGACCUUCGGGCCUCUUGCCAUCGGAUGUGCCCAGAUGGGAUUAGCUAGUAGGUGGGGUAACGGCUCACCUAGGCGACGAUCCCUAGCUGGUCUGAGAGGAUGACCAGCCACACUGGAACUGAGACACGGUCCAG
rnacentral:rRNA from 1 species